AGGGUGCUAGCUUAAUGGAAGAGCACAUGCCUUACAAGCAAGAAGUUGGUGGUUCGAUUCCUCCAUGCCCUA
rnacentral:tRNA from 1 species